UGGGGAAUAUUGGGCAAUGGGCGCAAGCCUGACCCAGCAACGCCGCGUGAAGGAAGAAGGCUUUCGGGUUGUAAACUUCUUUUAUCAGGGACGAAACAAAUGACGGUACCUGAAGAAUAAGCCACGGCUAACUACGUGCCAGCAGCCGCGGUAAUACGUAGGUGGCGAGCGUUAUCCGGAUUUACUGGGUGUAAAGGGCGCGUAGGCGGGAAAGCAAGUCAGAUGUGAAAUCUAUGGGCUUAACCCAUAAACUGCAUUUGAAACUGUUUUUCUUGAGUGAUGGAGAGGCAAGCGGAAUUCCUAGUGUAGCGGUGAAAUGCGUAGAUAUUAGGAGGAACACCAGUGGCGAAGGCGGCUUGCUGGACAUUAACUGACGCUGAGGCGCGAAAGCGUGGGGAGCAAACAGGAUUAGAUACCC
rnacentral:rRNA from 1 species